rnacentral:rRNA from 1 species
GUCCACGCCGUAAACGAUGAUAACUAGCUGUCCGGGCACUUGGUGCUUGGGUGGCGCAGCUAACGCAUUAAGUUAUCCGCCUGGGGAGUACGGUCGCAAGAUUAAAACUCAAAGGAAUUGACGGGGGCCUGCACAAGCGGUGGAGCAUGUGGUUUAAUUCGAAGCAACGCGCAGAACCUUACCAGCCUUUGACAUCCCGCGCUAACCAGAGAGAUCUGGGGUUCCCUUCGGGGACGCGGUGACAGGUGCUGCAUGGCUGUCGU